rnacentral:rRNA from 1 species
GAUGAACGCUGGCGGCGUGCCUAAUACAUGCAAGUCGAGCGAACAGACGAAGAGCUUGCUCCUUUGACGUUAGCGGCGGACGGGUGAGUAACACGUGGAUAACCUACCUAUAAGACUGGGAUAACUUCGGGAAACCGGAGCUAAUACCGGAUAACAUGUUGAACCGCAUGGUUCAACAGUGAAAGACGGUCUUGCUGUCACUUAUAGAUGGAUCCGCGCCGCAUUAGCUAGUUGGUAAGGUAACGGCUUACCAAGGCAACGAUGCGUAGCCGACCUGAGAGGGUGAUCGGCCACACUGGAACUGAGACACGGUCCAGACUCCUACGGGAGGCAGCAGUAGGGAAUCUUCCGCAAUGGGCGAAAGCCUGACGGAGCAACGCCGCGUGAGUGAAGAAGGUCUUCGGAUCGUAAAACUCUGUUAUUAGGGAAGAACAAAUGUGUAAGUAACUAUGCACGUCUUGACGGUACCUAAUCAGAAAGCCACGGCUAACUACGUG